GGUGUGUCACAUUCAAUUGGCCUACUGGCCGGGCCUCAAACCCUAGCGAAGGGUCUCUCCACCCCCGUCCCCAUGGCUGCAGUUCGUCCCCAUCCCUUUCGCUCUAACCCCGCCAAAGCCGCCGCUCCUGCAGUCCUUCGGCGUCAUCCAAUCUCACGGCAGACUCCCGCGGUAGGAGAGGAGAGUAUGAACGAUGUUCCUUGCAGCGGCAGGGAUGAGGAGCCCUUUCUGUUUCCAUCUCCUUUCUUUCAUGGAUGUCGUGUCUUCUUUGCCCGUCAGAGCCCAGAUCUGUCUAUUGUUUGUACUGGGAGAAGAAAAUAUACAAUUCAUUGUGGCACUGUUAACGCUAGCAUCAGGAGGUUGUUCAUGUCAUCAAAAUGUGCAACCAGAAUGAAAGUGCAACUACACUGCAUCUUCUUUGAGACAGGGUAUCCUUAAAAAGAAAUGUAGGACGAAGGAGGGUAGAGGAGAUCGAGGAGGGAGGGGGCCGUUGCGAGGAGAUAGUUGGAGGUCAAGCAUCGGCACUGGAGACGAGGACCCGCGAGCGGGAGAGGCGACGCUGGGCUAGCCAUUUCCACUGCGUCGGCAGAAGCCAGCGGAGUGAGCUCGUCAGCAUGGCAUCAAACUAUACAAUGAAGUCAGAGUCCGGCCAGAUCGUUUGCAAGUGAAAUAAGGAACCGACAACUGAAUAUUUUUAUGCCAACACACUUCUUGCUGGUGUGUCCUUUUAUCAAUAACAGGCCUGCUUCUCAAGAGAUGCAAACUGUACCCGAUUAAGAAUGAGAACAACAACCUUUGCUUCUACUAGGUACUUUCAUUUAUUGACAUUCACCUGUUUGUGUUGUUAACUUUAGUUCCAUCUAUCCAUUAAUUAGAUAUUAUUUUUUGUAUAUUUCAAUUAAGCAUUGGGGAAGAGUAGCAAAUCAUAAAUUUGAAACAUGUAUCCUCGCAUCUGUGACUGUCUUAUAGUCCAUGCAUAAAUAGUUACUACUUCAUUGGCGCAGUAUUAUUUGCCGAAAUCCCUUUGGGCCAAUAUUUGACAUGUCUUUAUUUCCUCCUUUCCCUUAUACAAUAUUAAAUUUUGGCCUGGGCUUAUGUUUUUACUACCCCUAUCAGAUCAUUAUUUAUUGUAAUUUUUGUGCAAUUUUCUAUAUCGCAUGUUCUGAUUGCACUAAAACUUUCUUCUGCUAACAUAAUUCUUUCAUGUUAUGAGGUUUAUCUAUCCAUUUUUUUGCAUGUGAAGAUAUAAAUGAGAUUUUUUAGAUAAAAGGCUGAGCUCCGAGGAAACAUGCCUUGAAAAGGUUCAUGCAUAGUUUGGAAAGCUAAUUAGUUGAAUGUUGUGUCCGAUAUUCUUAAGCAUCUCCUCGGUUUUAUCAUUACCAAUUUGAGACGAUUUUCUCUGUCUCGGUUUAAGGCUAUUUAGCCUUCAGUUUGUGACCAAUCUCAUAAUUUGCUCUAAAUGAUAAGUUUUCACUACUCCAGUGGUUUGGCCUGUUAGAAACAGUUGUAGUGUACUCAUUUGUUGGGAGUGUGAGUGCUCAUCGCACUAUGUAUUGUAGAAAUCUACCGGAUUAGUCAACGGUAUGCUGCACCGUUUGCUUCAAAACAAUCCUGAUAUAUUUACUGAUUAUACAGUUCUACGAUUUCCAUUGGUCAUUUUUCUCUUUGUGUUCUCAACUCUAUAUGAUAUCUAUUUUUCUUAAAUUUUGUGCAGCAAAUGGGUAAGAACUAUUACAUUGUACAUGCUACUUAUCACCUCCAUUGUUGUGUUGUGAACAAAGUUGAACUGUUUGUGCUUGUGAAAAAGGUAGAAAUUACUAAUGCCAUGUCAUGAGAUAUGGCCUUUUUUAAUGGCAUACCAUAUGAAGAUUCUUUUAGUCAGUAGAACUUCUAUGCAUGCCUUCAGCACAUUACAUCUUCAUUCGGUGAAGGAUGUCAUCAAAAGUGAAGGAUGGCAUUGGAAUUUUCUUCAUUAUUUAACCAAGUGAAGGAUAGCAUCACACAAUGAUGUAGUCUAGGAUAGGGAUACCUACAUUUUUCUAUUUUUGCACAACACAUUGCAAUAUAGUAUACAUGAUUUUAACUUGUACUUUUGAUGAAUUUUAUCUCAAG